UUGACGAUCAAGCUCAUAUAUUUAAAAAAAAACCAUUAAAAACAUAUUAUCACAAUACCCUUAAACUAAUUAACCCUUAGUUCAAGGGAGGACAACUUUCCAAAGUCGUUGAACUUAGAGGCCGAAAAUGGCUGCCUCUAAUCCUCUAAUCCUUAAAUCCUUACUCAACCUCCACUAAGCCUAAUAUCACACCCAAAGUUCUAACACGCAAACCUUGCUCACAACCUAGGAAUUCUACAUCUUAACAAGCUCACAACAACAAGAGCUAGCUAAAACACAGCAACCUAAGCCAUAAACAUAGUCGAACGCGCUGCCACGCGCCGCCACAGGCGGCGGCGAGUUGGCCCCACGCGCCAAAAACUUUCGAAUUUGAGAAAACUCUCAACAGCAAAGUUGAAGCUUGAAGCAAAGGGAACAACUUUCAUACCUGAGGCUUCAACCAAUUUUGGCCGGAACCGGCCGGAAAAUGCCACGAAACCCUAACCCGGAAUCAAACUUCAAACUUGCAAAUCCGGGCUCAAAAACCUCAAAACUUGAUUCAAUCUAUGCCUAGACACUACCAGGAGGAGGAGAGGAUCAAGACUCACCUAAGGAUGCCCCUCGUCGCCGCCGGAAACGGCGAGUCCGACCGGAGACACAGCAGCCCUCUUUCCAGCAAUAAGGCUCCGAUUCCGGCGUGCCACACCGAGCAGCAGCUGCCCAGUCUUGAAGAGAGCACUUGUGGGAGUCAAAUGGGACCAGUGGCGGUCCAAUUGGUGGCUGGACGGCGGAGCUAGCUCCGGCGGAAGUUUGGUGUGCGGGUGAGUUCGGGAGAGGAAGAGAGAGAAAAGAGAGAAGAGAGUGAACUGGGUGAGGAGAGUGAGAAGAGAGAGAGCUGAUUUGUGUUAGGGUUUCCAAAAUAACCCACACACAAUUUUCUACUUAAACACUUUCCACACCCGGAAACUAACUUCCUCUGACCAUAACUUUCUCAUACGACAUCCGUUUUAAGCGUACCGUAUGUCUACGAACUCGUAUCGACAAACUCUACAACUUUCAAGAAGGAAGUUUUCGAAAAUAACUUACGGAAAAUAAAGUCAACUUUUGGCCUCUUAAAAGUCAAAACACCUUAAAAUAAACUCCUGAAACUUCAACUUCGCAUAAACCAAAGAAUUUCCAUAAAUAAUCCUUCAUUAAUUAAGGAAAUAAUACAAGAAAAAAUGAUAUGAAAAUCUAGGGUAUUACAAGCAAUAUCGCCAAGGAGAAAGAAGAACAUAACCUCGACAUCGCUUAACCCGAGUUCCUAUCUCUUCCAUUGUGUCUUCCAUGCUAUCUUUAUUUCUAGUCAUGUUUUCUUUGGCUAUGGAUUUCUAAACUUCUAGCUAGGGCUGAGAUAAAGCCCCCAGUAUGAUUACUCUAUUUUUUUAGUUGAUUUCUUUUGAAUUCAUGGAUUUCUAUGUUAAAUUCUCAAUCACUGUUUCAAUUGAACUUUUAUUCAAAAUCUUUGCUCAGGACCAAUAAGACCUAGGUUUUGUUUAUUAGUUAUUUGGCUAGAAAACAUGAGACUUGAUCGAGAGUAGAUGUUUUCUAGGGUUUCAAAGGAUUUAUUUAAUCUUGUGAUUAGAGAGUUGUAAGUUAAGGAUACAAGUGUUUGAUCAUAGUCGAUAUUCUUGUUUACAUGAUCUCCUAGUUCUUUUGUGUUUAAUGGAGUUGAACAUGUGUCAGGACCCACCCCGGAUUUCACCCUGAAAUCCGGAAUGAACACUGCGGGGAUCAACUCCAAAGAAGAUGCUACCGGAAAUUCAGCAUAACAUCCCUUGAAAAUAGACAACUCUUCCUAAAAACACCUGCAAACACACUUAUAAAAAAAUCAUACUCCAACCUUGUACUCCUGGAGCCUUCCUGCUCCCCAAGUUCAUCACAUCUCCCAAAAUAUCAAAUACUAAUCUAAAAGAAUCUCACUUCUAACAACAAAGACAUUUAAUAAUUUAUUAACUCGAUUAUCAUAACAUAUAUAAUAAUGAAAGAAAAAUAAUGAAUAAAGAAUAAGCGGAAACAGCCUCUGACUAUGCCUCGACUCUAUGUACGCUCGACCUCAAAUAAACUUAGUCUGCAAACUGGGCAUUUGAAACCGAAGAACCCAGAGGAAAGUAAUUUAAAACGUUAGAGUGAGUGGACAAAAAUAAAUUGAAUAAUUUAACAUAAAUGUAAUUUAAAUACUUUCCCACGUUUAAACUUUAAAAACUUAGAUGCACGCAACUUUAAUCAUCCAAAAAAACUUUAAAUCCAGAGUCACGAAAGAAUGAACAAACCAGCAAUACUGAAAUUUUGUAAGAAGAGACAAACCAGCCCCGUUGGUUAAUCAAUUACAUAAAUGAGAAAAUAAAACAAGGGGAAGAAAUAUAUCACCAUGUAAGAGGAGCUUCUUAGACUCGGGUCGGAACCUCCCAGACUCUAGUAGCGUCCCACGCUAAGCGCUCGACUCACCUAUGGUGAGGACCGUUAAUAAAGGCUAGCUAGCAAUGAACAAUAACCGAUUAGUGUCUCCCAGGCUAUAAUAGCGUCUCACGCUAAGCGCUCAACUCACCUAUGAUGAGGACCGCAUGCUAGCUAGUAAUGAAUAAGAGCUAGUAUGGUGACUAAAAACAUACGAAAUCACUAUUCAUAAAGCUUCCCUAAGAUCAUGUGAAUAGUACGGUUCUCAACCGUACUUAGAAAUUAUCAUCAGAAAUUAAAAUAAAACUCAAUGACGUGUCUCACGUCAAAAUAUUCUCAAAUUUAUAAUUAUAAGCGAGAUUUCAUUAUAAAUCAUAAAUAAUAUCUCCACCUGAAAUACUCACUAAACAAUUCUCAAUGUCAAGAUCAUUAUGCGACAAAUAAACGAGAAAAUUAUGAUGGAGAACUACCAGAAGUCCCAUUUUCGGUAUUCUUUUAUAAAUCUCAAAGUCAACAAAUAAAACAAUAAGAAUUAAAUCCGGAAUUGAUAAAGAAUAUCAAAACUCAAAUACCAAAUUAAUAACCCGACCUCAAAUCCAUAAAUCAUGACAAACUCUUAAUCAAUGCAUCAAACUCAAAUAAAUUUCAAGACCAUAUCAUAAACCGAAAUUUAUAAUAUAAGCUCGGAAAAUAGAAUGAUAAUUUCCAAAAUAAACCAUGCAUGCUUAUUCAUUUAAAAACAAAGUGUCCACUCACCGUAUUAGGCAUAAGCUUUCCAUUGCUCAUGACACUCCUCGCGCGCUGCCUCCAAAUAUCCAAGUCCUUGAGUCAAUCCCACACCUGACCAUAAGCUGUAGGACAAAUCGGUCAAACCGAACUUUGAAAUAACCAUUGCCUCGUCUUCUUUCCUAGUUUGACUCGGGUUUCCUAGGUUGACCAGGAUUUACCAAUUAACGAUGUUCAACGUUUUCCAAUCCAACCUUUGACUUAACAAUUCGAUACAAUUUUCACUAUACGUCCUACUAACAGUUAGGCACUUAGGCGUCGCUUAAUAAUUCGUUUUGGUGAACCUCGAUUUUGAUUAAUCAAACUAAUGUAAUUUGAUUAACUCAAAAACAUACGAACCACCUUAAUCUGAAAAACCACCAAAUUACUAAGGGCACCCAAAAGGGUUUGCAUAACCGAAAAGUUUUCAAAAAUGGAAAGUUUCUUAAAAUAGAAACUUUCAUAACUUGGUAAUUUUUCCAAUUACAACCCGAACUUUCCUAUUUCCGAAGUGACAUAAAACAAAAACAAAACAUCGAUCACUACCUCUACCAAAAUAUUUUGCCGGAAUUUCACGAUAGUCUCCCUGUAUCUUCCAAUCUGCAAGUUAUCGACAAGCAUGUAGAAAAUUAAACGAUUUAACCACCAGUCCAACAGAAUAUCGCACUAGCCACAACACAGAAGCUUUUAAGAAACGGGAUUUACCCUCUACUUUCCAGAACGAAGAAUACGAUAAUCGAAGCUCCUCCUUACCUCAGCCAUGACCAAAUCGGAGAACCAACAGAAAAACAGGGAACCUCCCUUCGCCAGAAAACCUCUGCCUCCAACCCUUCCCAGGACGCGUCUUGGCUCCAAUCAACUAUUUCUAGACUCACCGGAUCUCGGUGGUCUCGCUAGAGCACCAAGAACAAACUCGCCGGAAAAACCUCGACAAAAACACAAAAGAGGGUUUUUUGAAUUAGUGCUCGAAUUAAGAAAACAAAGACACCAAAAGGGAGAGGAAAGAGAGGCGACCAAGAAUAUACCCAACGAAAUCGUCAUCUCCACCGAAGCUCGUUGGGAAUUGAAGAAGAAGACAACCGCACACCACCGCGAUCAACCUCCCUCUAUAAUGGAUGCAAGUUAGAUUGUUUUGGCUAGGCUAGGAAGGAGAGAAGAAAAGAAGAAGUUUAAUGGUGGUCUCGCCGUCUGGGGUGGCCGGAAGAGGCCAGUGCGUGGCGGAGGAGGAUGGCUACGACGGAGAGAGAGAGAGAGAGAGAGAGAAGAAAAAGGGAGACGGGUCAAUGCCCAUAGGGGGCUUUUGACCGAACUCAACCUCCUAUUUUCCUUUUAUGUUUAAUCCAAAGGCCAAGAUCAAAACCCUAAUUGAUCCGACGGCCCAGAUUAAUCCACAAUUUUCUAAUUUCAGAAAAAUUAAUUUCUUUUUACUAAACCUUCGAUAAAUGGUAGAAAAUAGCUCGAAACUCCGAAAAAUAAUCCGAAGACACCGUUGAACUUGUGUCGACGCAUACUACAACAUCGGGGCCUUAAAAGAAAAAUUUGAUAUUUUGAGAAAAAACUCGAAAAUGAACUUGAACAUUAACUUACUAAGUUACCGAGCACGAUUAAAUUCCUUAGUAACUGGUAGAAUACCCAGUAAAUAGGUAAAAUUGGGUACGGGGGGCGUUACAACAUGUUUCCUUGAACCUGCUCAUAAUGUGAAGUAAAUUAUAGUUUGACUACUUGAGUUCUAUACGGGAUCAAUAAGUUAGAAUUCAUUGGUUAGAAGAACUUCAGCAUAUGUCCUAGAUCAAUAAAUCUUAUGUACGAAAUUCUUUAGCAUGCAAUCUAGGGAGUCCAAUUGCUAUCAACUAGAGAGGAGGGUAAGAGUAUUAGGUGGUGGCAUGGAUUCAAUGCUUUAACAUCUGCAUAAUCUGUUCUUAAACUCUUCAUAAUCUCAUUGCUUUGUUUUGUUUUUAGUUUUGUAUUUUAUUUCUACAAUUUUUUUUUUCUAUUCAUCAACAUAUCAUACAAUUUAGCAUGCAAUCUAGGGAGUUCAAUUGCUAUCAACUAGAGAGGAGGGUAGGAGUAUUAGGUGGUGAAUUCAAUGCUUUAACAUCUACAUAAUCUGUUCUUAAACUCUUCAUAAUCUCAUUGCUUUGUUUUAUUUUUAGUUUUGUAUAUUAUUUCUACAAUUUUCUGUUUUCAUUCAUCAACAUCAUAAAAUCAGUGUGUUUAUUUCAUUAGGUGUAGUAUAAUUGGCAUAGUAAGUUGUUUUAAUCAAUUCAUAGAGGGAACGACCUCGUGCUUGCACUUUCUAUUCUAUAAUUGGUUCAUGCACUUGCGAGUACUAUAUUAAAACAUAAAACAAGCACACAAUUCUAACUUCUUUAUACGAAACAAUAUGGAACGAGAACAAGAUCGACUGUCAUUCCGAGGCCUUCCGUGAAGAUCACAACGUUAAAUCUAACCUAUGAAGACAGGCCCAAAAUCCUCUUGUCCUCAAGGUACCAUCCAUAGUAGGCACCCUGAGGUUCAGACCACCUUUGGCCACUCCCUUGCUAGUCUCCUCUAGCCGCUGACUGCCUCUGCUGCCACCAAAAACCACCGUCGACGCAAAGGAACAUAAUGCUGAGCAGGGCCGCCUCAUCCCCGGCUAGAAGGAGUCAACAAUAGUUUGAGAAACCCGAUCCAGAACCCCCAACGCCAACGAGCCCUUCAUGAGCCCAACAAGAUUCAGACCCAAAUCAUAAAGCAUCAACUAGCCGUCGUCCUCCUCUGUAGAUCUCUCCUCCGAACUCGAAGCCAGAAGCAUUGCCUUGAGCCUGUCCUCCUCAUCAUGCCCCCACACCUUCAAAUCAACUCCCCACCAAUUCGGACCCACACGCAAGCUACCACCUCCGAAAUCCCCACUUUCCGGGUUCGUGGAAACACCUUGGCCACCACCAUCCACGAGACCUAGUGAAAAAGGAGAAGAGAAAGGAGAGGAAGAAGGUGGUGAAUUACCACAGGUUUUGUGGAUGGGGAAUAUCCCUAAUCCAUCGUUGAUUUUUCCAAAGCCGCCACAUAAAAAACCUAGCAACGACCUCCUUUUUAGACUUGAGAGAGAGAGAGAGAGAGAGAGAGAGAGAGAGAGAGAGAA
rnacentral:lncRNA from 1 species